AGGGAGACCCAUCUAGCAACCUAUUCAGUUCAUUGCAAGACCGCUAUGGGUAGGCCACGCAAAGUUAAGACUCCCGAAGGGCAGCGUGAAUACGACGAGCGUCGAAGAGUGCGAAACCGUAAUGCUCAACAACGGUGUCAUGCUAAGACUAGGCAGAACAACAAAACGUUUCCUAUCCUCACCGACAGCUUUUGAGCGGUUUUCCAACAGCUUCCCUGAACAUCCACUUACGCAGGGUCCGGAGGACGACCCACAUCUGAAUACAAGAUGUGGCACGCUGGAUCGAUUAUCGCUGGCUUCGUGCAGACCUUCGCCAAGGAUAUCACUUUCGUCACCGUGAAGGGUGCGGGCCACAUGGUCGCCAUGAGCAAGCCUGAAGAAUCUCUGCAGAUGAUGUCCAACAUUCUUUCAAGGAGCUCGUUUGAAUGAAGAAAAACACACUUUCAGUGGAAAAGAUCAAUAAAGAAGAAGCGGAGUAAAAAAAAUUCACCGGCGAUCGCCGUAAUCCCUAAUGCGAAGUUUGAGCGCAGCUCCAUA